CGCGUAGGCGGUCUUUUAAGUCAGGUGUGAAAGCCCGGGGCUCAACCCCGGAAGUGCACUUGAAACUAAGGGACUUGAGUAUGGGAGAGGGAAGUGGAAUUCCUGGUGUAGCGGUGAAAUGCGUAGAUAUCCAGGAGGAACACCGGUGGCGAAGGCGACUUCCUGGACCAAUACUGACGCUGAGGCGCGAAGGCGUGGGGAGCAAACA
rnacentral:rRNA from 1 species